UGGGGAAUAUUGCACAAUGGGCGCAAGCCUGAUGCAGCCAUGCCGCGUGUAUGAAGAAGGCCUUCGGGUUGUAAAGUACUUUCAGUCGGGAGGAAGGUGUCAAGGUUAAUAACCUUGGCAAUUGACGUUACCGACAGAAGAAGCACCGGCUAACUCCGCGCCAGCAGCCGCGGUAAUACGGAGGGUGCAAGCGUUAAUCGGAAUUACUGGGCGUAAAGCGCACGCAGGCGGUUGAUUGAGUCAGAUGUGAAAUCCCCGGGCUUAACCCGGGAAUUGCAUCUGAUACUGGUCAGCUAGAGUCUUGUAGAGGGGGGUAAAAUUCCAUGUGUAGCGGUGAAAUGCGUAGAGAUGUGGAGGAAUACCGGUGGCGAAGGCGGCCCCCUGGACAAAGACUGACGCUCAGGUGCGAAAGCGUGGGGAGCAAACAGG
rnacentral:rRNA from 1 species